CGUUCUUUGAAAUAUCUUCUUUUGUAUUCAGGAGAAGAAAGACAUACAUACAGGUUUGGAACAACUUGAGGGUGUGUAAAUGAUGGCAGAAUUUUCAUUUUUGGGUGAACUGUCUCUUUAACUCUCACUAUUUCUUCACAUGCUGCUAUCUUAACUAUGGCAUGUUGGGCCAUGAACUCCACACAGUAAUGUGAGACUGAUCUUAUGACCAGGGCCACAGCUGUUGCAACUGUGUGAGACUAAUACAGAAGGCACGCACACACACACACACCACUUCAGUGCCACUCAACAUUUCAGUGCCUUCAGCAAGUAUGACUGACAGUACAAGGAAAAACAUUAAGAUGCUCAGCUCUCUGCCAGCUUAUUCUCUGACUGACGAGGGACAUUUGCAGUAUUAUUAUGGUCACUGUUAGGGGAGGCGGUCAGCAAUCCAAUUGGAUGAAGCCAGUGGGAUGCCCCAAAUACAGAGGGCGGGAGAGCAGGAGUCAGAGCGUCUUAUACAGACACAGUUUACCAUCAUAACGCACAAGAACAUGACUCUGGCCUGAUGUCAUUUUGAAUAUCACCUGGACUAGAAAAGCCAGAUCCUUAAUAACAUCAUCCACCAGGAAGUGACAUCAUUUUCAGCAGAAAAACAACAACACAACAUCAGUAAGUGUUAGCUUGUAAAAUGCUGAAAGUUUGUGAUAUUACUGGUUUAUGUCACUUACAAACAGAAAUUAGUAUAAUAAUAACAACCAAUUUCAAGCGAUGAUCGCCGAACAUCAAAAUGAAGUUAACUUUAGCUUAACUAAUUAGCUAACUUCCAAUCCCUCGCAUCUUUAGCUCUUCAUUUUCUGUUGAUUUUCUAGUCAUUGUGUAAAUAAUUAGUAACGUUAAGGUGUCGGAGCGUGACCACCUUGUAAUAGAAAUGCACUUUAGCACAUUUUUAAAAAGAAUACUCAUUAUGCAGAUAACGUGCUUAAGUGUGACCUGAAUGUAAUAUUUCCAGACACUUGUUUGCAUGUUAAAUGAAAACAUGUUAAAAAAGGAACUGGUUUGAGAAAGCCACCAAAGCAACUUCUGAUCUGGAUCCAACAGUAUAUAUCACUGGAUCCACUGAAAUGAGCUUAUAUGAAACUUAACCACUAUCUUCAGCUUCCAGUGUAUGAAAUAAAACUGAGGACAAUGCACUAACCACACACUUCUAACAGCAGUUCUCUAACCAGUUAGACAUUAUUGUGCUGAUAAUGAGCCCAUUAUACACUAAUGACACCUGUAAGUGUCUAAAUCUUCAUUUACAAGAGCAUAAUGUAAGGCAGGUGAAACAGCAACAAAAUAACACUGAACUUCUGAUCCUUUAUAUAGCAACUGAAUGGACUGUUGUUAUCAUGGCGAAUUUAUGACAUGCAGUCCCUUGUGAUUUUAGCAUACUUUUAAAAACAGUAAUUAUUACAGAAAUAAUAUACUUUAAAAAGAAUAUGCUUAAUUGUGGAUUGAAUGCAAAUGUAUAAAUGUAUAUUAAAUGCAAUUAGGAGUGAUUUUGACUCUUUUUAAAGUGUGACUUAAGUACAACUUUAUAUGAAAUUUCAUAAUUACUUAUAUUGUCUUUGAAAUAUGGUGAAAGUGUACUUCCAAAUGUACUGACAAGUGUUCAUAGU